UGACGUAGGCGGAAGUAGGUUGAAAACAUCCCGAAGGCGCGCACCGUUUGAUUGAAGGCAACUAUUGGAACUACGGUGGUAAAGUUGAAAAUACAGUCCUGAAUUAUGCACAACGGUGUAUAUUAAUCAUCAAGAGGUUAAUAUUAAGUCUUCAGUCGGCGCGUUAAGUGGCGAAUUUAGUAGAGUUGAAGCACAGAUCUGAAGCCAGUCACACCACGGCACACAGGAUGCAGGAGGACUCCAGCCGCAGUCCCAGCUACACGGUGGCAUGCGAGGACUACGUCCACGUGGUGGAGUUCAGUCCUUUCGGCUCCGGGACGCCUGCCUCUCUCCUGGCCUAUGGUGGAAACCAGUAUGUGGUGGUGGGCACCUGCCUCUUCCAGGAGGAGGACAUGGAGAUCGAGGGAGUGGAGUUCAAUGUCCUUCGAGCUUUCCACCACGAGCUGCGCGUCGAUGCUCUCGCCUGGAGUCCUGAAUCCCGCCUGGACCGGAUGCCCACUGUCAGAUUUUGUACCGCGGCAGCCGACAGAAAGCUGCGCCUGCUGACAUCCGAUCUUCAGGAUAGGCACGAAGUCAAGGUGAUGGAGGGCCACACCAGCUUCAUUAACCACUUGGUGUUCGAGCCCUCGGAGGGGAAACAGAUUGCUUCCGUCAGUGAUGACCAUACUUGCAGGGUGUGGGACCUGGAGGGAAAUGAAAGCAUCACUUUCAGACUUCGCUCUCCUGGCAUCAGCGUGUGCUGGCACCCGGAGGAAGUGUUUAAGUUAAUGGUGGCCGAGAAGAAGGGGACGAUUCGCUUCUACGACCUGGUCGCCCAGCAGGCCAUCCUGUCGCUGGACUGCGGCCAGUCGCCGCUGCUGUCGGCCGACUGGUGCCUCAGCAACACCAUCAAAGUCGGCGCCGUGGCCGGCAGCGACUGGCUCAUCUGGGACAUAACUCGAUCCAGUUACCCACAAGAGAAAAGACCGGCCCACAUCGAUAAGGCACGGCAAUUCAAGUGGUCUCGAGCCAACGAAAACCUCUUUGCCACCACCGGGUGUCCAGGAAAAAUCAGUAGUCAGUUACUCAUCCACCACCUCGGCCACCCACAGCCCGUGACCAUUGGAUCGGCGACGGUGGGAUCCGGCCUCAGCUGGCACCGCACGCUCCCGCUCUGCGUGAUUGGCGGCGACAGGAAGCUUUGCUUUUGGAUGACUGAGAUGUAGACGGCACUCUUCCUCACGGUUGGAUGACUAGGUCAGCUACAGAUAAACGACGGGCGGCUCUGGUCUCGUCGAAAGGGCUCGUUUUUCUUUUUCUCUGAAGAAAAGUCACGUCCCGGUCCCCUACGACGAGCCGAGCUUCUCCAAGGCGCCGUGCAGGGUCUUCAGGUCCUCUCUCAUCUGGCUCAGGGCGUUUUGGAUCUUGCCGGGUUGAUCCAGAACCUCCACGCUGCAGUUCAAACGUUGGCCACAAAGGUAACAAGGUAAUACCUCAACUUAAUCUUCGCGUCCUCGAAGUUCUCGGACACGAAGUAAACGGGCUGGUAGGUCUGGUCCUGGUACGGCUGCACCGCUGUCUCCUCCGGGUCGAACGGCUUGUACUCCGGCUCGUUGGACAGAGCGUACUGCGAGAAACACAACAGAGCAGGAUAAAUGAGACCUACCGUCGACAGUUUCUCAAUGUCCUCAUCUGAAGCUCCGAGGGAGGCGAGUCCAAUCUCCUGCAAGUGUUCAAAUGAAUAAGGCCUCAAGUCACCUUUCAGGAAGGCGGAGACCUCCCGGAGCUGAGGGAUGCGGCCCUCUCCGUAGCCGCACUCCUCCUCCAGCUGCUGCAGACUGUCCAGGAACUGACGACAGGCCAGACUCGGGUAGAUGCUCCUCAGC